rnacentral:rRNA from 1 species
AUACGGAGGGUGCAAGCGUUAUUCGGAAUCACUGGGCGUAAAGGACGCGUAGGCGGGUUGGCAAGUCAGAUGUGAAAUCCUACAGCUUAACUGUAGAACUGCAUUUGAAACUGCUAACCUAGAGUAUGGGAGGGGGAGAUGGAAUUAGUGGUGUAGGGGUAAAAUCCGUAGAUAUCACUAGGAAUACCGAAAGCGAAGGCGAUCUCCUGGAACAUAACUGACGCUAAGGCAUGAAAGCGUGGGGAGCAAACAGGAUUAGAAACCCUAGUAGUCC